AGACACAGCCCUGGAUGUUAUCACGUCUGUGCUGAUCACGUGCCUGUACACAAACCCGCCGCAGCUCACUUGCAAAAGAUUAUCCUGUUAUUUAUUACACGUAUAGUAAACGUUUUUAAUGUUAUCAUGAAUCAAUGUUAUAGUUUUGUAUGUCACAUUAUUUUUUGAGAAGAGUCAUGACUCAACGCGGACCUUACACGCUGUUAAUUUGUGUGUGCAUAUGGCGGUACAGGCUCUUUUGCACUCUAUGACCAGCCAUCAUUAAAUCGAAAUACAGUAAAAAAAAUGAGCGCGAAACCCUGACACUUUACAGAAAGGCACGGAUAUCCCCGCCCGAAGAAAAAAAGAGCACAGGACAAUGGUUGCAAGUUAAACAGCUGAACAUUUCACCAUCUACAAAGAACAUUUCACCAUCGACAUAUCAACAUAAACGGUCCUCUUUUUCUUGUUUGACUGCGUUUGGUACAGGUCACAACAACAACGGCAGAUGUAGAGACCACACUUUCCCUUGCUUCCACUCCACGGCUGAUCAUGCUUGGUCACAACAACAACGGCAGAUGUAGAGACCACGCUUUCCCUUGCUUCCAUUCCACGGCUGAUCAUGCUUGAGGAUCCAGAUCUACAAAACAAAAAAUGGAUGCUGCCGAUUGAAGGCUAAGUCCGCUUUCCUGUGAUUGACCUACCAUUUCUUCAGCAUUUGCUGUUCACUUUGGUUGCUACUACGUGCUCAACAUCGAGUACCAAGUGGAAGCAGCCACUACUUUGGAGUUUAUUCAGAGAUUUAUUGUGAGGAUCAGCCCCAGCAAGUGCUCCUCUAACUUCCAGGUGAGCAAAAGAAGUGGGAAGAUGGUGCAAAGGAGGAACUCUGGCCUGAACCAUCAUGUAUAUAUCCACCUUUAUUAAGGACUUUAUGAAUUAAGCAAAACUAUUAAGCAACUAAAGCAAAUACAUUCUACUCAACUCACCAGAGGUUUGUGAAGUUCUUUUUUUAUCUUAAAGGUUUCUUUUAGUUAAUUUGUCCAUGCACUGAUUUAUAAUAUUGUAAUAUGAAACUCCAGUGUAUACAUGUUACUACUGUUGCUUCUAAAAGCAAAAUAAGUCUAUGCAGGAGAGGUUUUGUUACGUUUUUUUUUUUUUAAUUAUUCUUAUAGACGGUUUCAUCGGAUGCACAUGACACACGUCUGGAUCCGAACCUUACUUCCGGUUUCGCUUUUUUAAUGGUCUGACUAGUUGGUAAACUGAUUUCUUGAACAAAAGCCUCGUCGAAAAUAACAAAUGUUUUGGUUUCCGAGCUAAUCUGUGUGUUGUUUUUUUGCUUGUUAUAUAAAUAAAAUGCGUUUAAAGAACUUUGUUGUUUUUUAUUCUUAGCGGAGUUUAUCGGAAGUUCAUGCGGACCGCGACAGCCGCUUGUUUAUGUUGUUACUGAUGAAACCGUCUAUAGUUAUAACUGAAUUUGUACUAGUAUUAUUUGAUAAUACUGUGAAAUGAAACAGUGAGUAAAUGUAACAUUGGCUUUGAAAAAGCUGUUGCUGCAAGAAAUUACAAUUUACUCAGAAUAAUAUUUUGAAUGUAUAAGUUUUUGACAUUGCUUAUGACUACAUUUGAAUGUAUUGUUCAUGAAUUGAUGCUGUGAUAUGUGUGUGUAAAUGUUUUGUGUGUUACAGGAUAAAAGAUUUUAUUUUACUCAGGAAAGUAUUUUGUAUUUGAACAUUGUUAUUAUGACUGAGUUAGUUCAUGACUUGAUUUAAAAUUCUGUAAUAUGAUAUCUGAGUAAAUGUUAUUGCAGGUUUAAGAAAAACAGUUUGUGAUGCAAGCUGAAAGUUCAGUGUGCAAAAAUAUGAAAAUCUGAUUUCAUGUUUUUGAAAAACUAAAUUAAAUUUUAAAAACAUGUUGUCAUUGCUUAUUUUUGUGAUUUACUUAGAGCUGUUUUAACACCUCCAUUUAAAUUUUGUGCAGUUUUGUAGUAAAUAGAAAUGGGA